AGGCGGAUUCUUAACCACUGCGCUACCAGGGAAGCCCCGGGAGCAUCUCUUAAGGAGGGGGACACGUCUUUGUAAACUGCCUUCAGUGGGUGCAGAUGAACGGGGCCCAGAUGCAAGAUUUUGACUGACGGGUAGCAGGAUACAGGGAAAGAAGUGGAAGAAGGUAAAAAGGAAACAGGAAGCAGUGAUAAUGUGUGGUCUGAGAUAAGGAGACAGAAGCACAGAGAGGUAAUGGGCUGUUUAUACUCAGAGCCUUCCAAAGGCUGAGAAGACACGGAUGUUAACAGUGGUUGAUGAGUGACUGGGAAAGGCUGAACAUUUUGAUUUAAAUGAGAAUCUGGAAGGUAGGGUAAGGAGGAAGGUCAGAAGGAUGUUCCCACGUGGGUUGAAGGCUGGAAUCAAACACAUUCAGAAGAUUCUCAUAGCUUUGCCGUGUUCUUCAUGUGUCCCUGCCCCUCCAACCACAGUCCUUUGGCUCAGAGGUGAGCAUCUGACCCAAGAUAGACCAAUCAGAGCCCUUCUCCGAAAUUUCUGAACUUGGGCCAGAAGAGAAUCAAACAAGCAGCCGUAAAAGACACUGCUCUGUUGGACAUCAGGACUUCCUUAGCUGAUGAAGGGGAUCAGAAUAUGCCACCCCAAAAUAUGCCACUUUGGCUUAAGGAUUAUUUUGAACUGAAAGCAAUUAAGAAAUAGCAGACACAAGGGACACUCUCUGCCCUCCCCCUUACUGCCUGAGUGCAGGGCAUAAAUUUCCCUUUGUAAAGGUAGCAUAAAUUUCCAUUUAUAAACUUUUCUCCCUCUCUAGCACCAGAAAGAGAGCAAUUUUAAUCACCAGAGAUGACCCUUAUCACUGGAGAUAGCACUGACUUGUGUCUGCAUAACAAACCUUAAUAAAUAACCUUUAUCUACCAUACUUUUCCUAGUCACCUUCCCACAAUUUACCAUCCUAAAAGCCCAAACCACCCCCCUUUCCUUUGUCUAGUCACUUCUCCACAAUUUAUCACCCUUUGUUAAAGUGGUAUAUAAGUCCUUGGGUCUAACUCCCUCCUAGGGUUUUCACUUCUUUUCUGUGAAGCCCCCAUGUACAUGCAAAAGAAACCUUCCUCCUGUUACUCUGUCUUUUGUCAGUUUAAUUUGCAGGCUUCAGGUAGUGAACCUGAGAGGAUAGAGGACAAGUUUUUCUGCCUCUACACUGAACAUUCAACGAAGCCCUCAAACAACUGAUCAGUACUAAAUCAUGUGACCACUUUCAUUUAUAGCCUUGAUUCUAAACCUAAGGUGGGUCCUAAGUGCUGCCUGGCAACCAGAAUACAUUUCUCUAGGAAAUUCACUGGAGUGUGAGCUCUACUUGGGCAGGGAUCUCUGUUCUGUUCACUGGUAUAUCCCAAGAACCUAGAAUAGGGCCUGGCACAUAGCAUGUGUAGUGAAUGUUAUGGACAGGUGUUUUACACUUUUUCUUCUUUCCUCAGACCUCAAACCCUCAAAUUCUCAGAUCUCAGUACUCAGCUAUUGGCCUGGCUACUUACUUCACUGAGAAAAUGGAAUUAGUCUGAGAAUAAUAGCUAUGUACUCCCACAACAAAGUCAACCACCUCCCUUGCAACCUUACCCAUAUUUGCUCCUUCCCACUUAUCACAAAGGACAGCUUGUCCCAGCUCCUAUCUAAGUCUGACUAUCCCAAUUGUGCACUGCAUCCCACUCUCUUCUGCCUACUCAAGAUUUUGGUCCUGCAGUUGACUCCUCUCUCCUGCAUCAUCAGUUUUUCCUCUCAACUGGAUAAUUCCCAUCAGGAUACAGAUUGGUCUAGGAGAAGGCCCUGAGGCAGAAAGUCAAGGGGUUCUCUGGUGUGUGCUUGGGUGCUGGCUACCUACAUAGAACUGUCAAACAGAACUGCCUUUAGGUGGCCUUGGGCACCCAAAUCAUCUGCUGAUGGAGUUGACUACAGUUUUCCCAAUGCAUAAUUUUGUGUCUGACAGUUAGUAGGUGCUCAAUAAAUAUUCACUGAAGAAUGAAUAAUAUUCCUCAUCUUAUACUGUCCCUCUCUUGACUAUGCAUCCUUCCAACUACCAUGCCAUGGUAUGGUACCCUUAUUCUGCACCCUUUUAUAGAAAAAUUCACAAGAGCAUCGUUUAUAUGCUUGCUGUUUUCACUUUCUAGCUUCUUAGUCUCUCUUGACCUCACUCCAAUUGUGCUUUCAUCUCUAGGACUCUACUGAAACUUUGAGAUCACCGAUGACCUCCAUUUUGCCAAAUCCAAUUCUUAGACCUCAUUUACUUGACCAUUCAAGCAAUCAUUUGACCUAGAGCAUCACCCCUCCUUUUUUCCUCACUGGCUUCUCUUCCUCAGUCACAUUUGCUGGUUCCUACUCAGCUCUCCAACAUCUUAGUGUUGGAAUGUUCCAGCUUCUGCCCUUAGACAUCUCUUUUCUAUCCCAUUUAUUCCCAUAUUUUACUUCCUAACCUGUAUGCUAAUGACUCUCAAAUUUAUAUCCAGGUUCUGAAUUUAAGACGCAUGUAUCCAACAUCUCCUCUUGGAUUUUGAAUAAACAUCUCUCUCUCUCUCUUUCUUCCGUUAAAUUUCAGGUGCAUAGAAAUGAAUUAAUUAUAACCUUUUGUUGA